rnacentral:rRNA from 1 species
UACGAGUGGCCCAAGCGUUAUCCGGAAUUACUGGGCGUAAAGCGUGCGCAGGCGGUUGUGCAAGACAGAUGUGAAAUCCCCGGGCUUAACCUGGGAAUUGCAUUUGUGACUGCACGGCUAGAGUGUGUCAGAGGGGGGUAGAAUUCCACGUGUAGCAGUGAAAUGCGUAGAUAUGUGGAGGAAUACCGAUGGCGAAGGCAGCCCCCUGGGAUAACACUGACGCUCAUGCACGAAAGCGUGGGGAGCAAACAGG